rnacentral:rRNA from 1 species
GACGUAGGGCGCGAGCGUUGUCCGGAUUUAUUGGGCGUAAAGAGCUCGUAGGCGGCUUGUCGCGUCGUCCGUGAAAACUUGGGGCUCAACCCCAAGCUUGCGGUCGAUACGGGCAGGCUAGAGUUCGGUAGGGGAGACUGGAAUUCCUGGUGUAGCGGUGAAAUGCGCAGAUAUCAGGAGGAACACCGGUGGCGAAGGCGGCUCUCUGGAACGCAACUGACGCUGAGACGCGAAAGCGUGGGGAGCGAACAGG